rnacentral:rRNA from 1 species
ACCACGAAGCCUGGGUGAAGGACGGGGAUUAGGAACCCCCUUACUCCAAGGUGUCAAUAAGAGCUGGGGACUACGAGCGUAUGCUUAAAACUCGAAGAUCUUGGCGGUGCGGAUACAGCCAGGCAGGGGAACUUGACGCUUAAUCCGAUGAUCCGCGUUUAAUCUCAUCUUUUCUCGAAUGCCUUCGGGCACAGGUGUUCCACCGCCGUCUAAGAACUAAAAGGAAGGGAAUAGAAUAGAAGCGCCCCAGGUUGAUAGACUGCUGCGUGGAGUGGCAGGUCUUCCCGACUGUCCUGUUGAGAACCGGGUUGGAUUUUGAAAUUCUUGAAGUUCAGGGGCGGGGACUUUUGCUAACUGUUUCAGGCAAGUAAUACAGGUCGAGGCGACCUCCAUGAAAAGAGGUUAGUUGAGUUACUAAAUGACGGAUUCUCGGGGGUAGAUUAGUCCGGGAUGAAGAAGGACUUGCAUGUAGGGAGGGAUUAAAACGCCCUCUUGAAUGGGGAAAUGCCGCGCGUACAAAUCGCCCGUCACUCUCGGGGAGACCUGAGAU